AAUUGAUAUGCGCGAGGAAUCAGAGGUAGGAAUUGAUUCAGAUGGUGGUACAGUUUUUGCCCCAGUUGUUGGACCACGCAGAGUGCAUCCACGGUACUCUAAAACUUCUGCUUGCAAGGACCAGGAAGCCAUCAAGCUUAGUAAAGAAAACAGUGAAACAAAUAUCUCUUCUAAUACUAUUUCUUUGGGUCUCAAAGUUAGUGGACAAGAUUCCAUUCGUGAUGUUGAUCAAGAUGGUAAUGGUGAUGAGUGCCGUCUCUGCGGUAUGG
rnacentral:misc_RNA from 1 species